rnacentral:rRNA from 1 species
CCUGCCUUACACAGGGGGAUAACACUUAGAAAUAGGUGCUAAUACCGCAUAAGCGCACAGUCCCGCAUGGGACAGAGUGAAAAACAUUAGUGGUGUAAGAUUGACCCGCGUCUGAUUAGCUUGUUGGCGGGGUAACGGCCCACCAAGCCGACGAUCAGUAGCCGACCUGAGAGGGUGACCGGCCACAUUGGGACUGAGACACGAUCCACCUUUAAACGGGAGGUAGCAGUGGGGAAUAUUGCACAAUGGGGGGAACCCUGAUGCAGCGACGCCGCGUGAGUGAAGAAGUAUUUCUGUAUGUAAAGCUCUAUCAGCAGGGAAGAAAAUGACGGUACCUGACUAAGAAGCCCCGGCUAACUACGUGCCAGCAGCCGCGGUAAUACGUAGGGGGCAAGCGUUAUCCGGAUUUACUG